AUUGGGAUUUUGCAAUGGUAAAUCAGUUUGAUAACCAAUAUUAGUUGUUUGAACUUCAGGUACGGGUAUGGGAGGAAGUUUAUGCUGCUUUAAAGCACGCGGAAUCGGAGCUUGUAGAUCGUGAUCUUUCAUUACAUUUAGUUCAGAAUUAAGGUUGAGUGUAGAGGAAGAAUACCCAUUAUGUGCGGAGUGAAAGGCUUCAGCUUGAAGUGGUUGCAAAUCAUUGGAGUUAGGUGAUUGAUUAGAGUUAUUUUGGAAAUUAUUUAGCGUAGAGUAUUGAGAAUUUUGAAAAGAAGAGACUCUGUUGUUAGUAGUGUUUUGCUUGUAGUUUACGCCAUUAAGAGGUCCUUCAGAAACGACCCGCCUUGUUUGUUUUGGGGAAGGAGGAUGGUGCAGCUGAAAAACUUCCCUAGCUUCAAGAGAUAAAUGUUCAACUGCAUGAUAGAUUUCAAAAACAUAACCCCUCGGUGCUACGACAGCCGAUAUAGAAGCAAAAAAUUGGACAUGUUCCUGAUAAUCUCCACUGAGUUUAGGAAGCA